GGCGAACUGGUGAGUAACACGUGGGAAACCUGCCCAGAAGCGGGGGAUAACACCUGGAAACAGAUGCUAAUACCGCAUAACAACUUGGACCGCAUGGUCCGAGUUUGAAAGAUGGCUUCGGCUAUCACUUUUGGAUGGUCCCGCGGCGUAUUAGCUAGAUGGUGGGGUAACGGCUCACCAUGGCAAUGAUACGUAGCCGACCUGAGAGGGUAAUCGGCCACAUUGGGACUGAGACACGGCCCAAACUCCUACGGGAGGCAGCAGUAGGGAAUCUUCCACAAUGGACGAAAGUCUGAUGGAGCAACGCCGCGUGAGUGAAGAAGGGUUUCGGCUCGUAAAACUCUGUUGUUAAAGAAGAACAUAUCUGAGAGUAACUGUUCAGGUAUUGACGGUAUUUAACCAGAAAGCCACGGCUAACUACGUGCCAGCAGCCGCGGUAAUACGUAGGUGGCAAGCGUUGUCCGGAUUUAUUGGGCGUAAAGCGAGCGCAGGCGGUUUUUUAAGUCUGAUGUGAAAGCCUUCGGCUCAACCGAAGAAGUGCAUCGGAAACUGGGAAACUUGAGUGCAGAAGAGGACAGUGGAACUCCAUGUGUAGCGGUGAAAUGCGUAGAUAUAUGGAAGAACACCAGUGGCGAAGGCGGCUGUCUGGUCUGUAACUGACGCUGAGGCUCGAAAGUAUGGGUAGCAAACAGGAUUAGAUACCCUGGUAGUCCAUACCGUAAACGAUGAAUGCUAAGUGUUGGAGGGUUUCCGCCCUUCAGUGCUGCAGCUAACGCAUUAAGCAUUCCGCCUGGGGAGUACGGCCGCAAGGCUGAAACUCAAAGGAAUUGACGGGGGCCCGCACAAGCGGUGGAGCAUGUGGUUUAAUUCGAAGCUACGCGAAGAACCUUACCAGGUCUUGACAUACUAUGCAAAUCUAAGAGAUUAGACGUUCCCUUCGGGGACAUGGAUACAGGUGGUGCAUGGUUGUCGUCAGCUCGUGUCGUGAGAUGUUGGGUUAAGUCCCGCAACGAGCGCAACCCUUAUUAUCAGUUGCCAGCAUUAAGUUGGGCACUCUGGUGAGACUGCCGGUGACAAACCGGAGGAAGGUGGGGAUGACGUCAAAUCAUCAUGCCCCUUAUGACCUGGGCUACACACGUGCUACAAUGGAUGGUACAACGAGUUGCGAACUCGCGAGAGUAAGCUAAUCUCUUAAAGCCAUUCUCAGUUCGGAUUGUAGGCUGCAACUCGCCUACAUGAAGUCGGAAUCGCUAGUAAUCGCGGAUCAGCAUGCCGCGGUGAAUACGUUCCCGGGCCUUGUACACACCGC
rnacentral:rRNA from 2 species